rnacentral:rRNA from 1 species
AUUGAACGCUGGCGGCAGGCUUAACACAUGCAAGUCGAGCGAGCGGCGCACGGGUGUGUAAUAUCUGGGACACUGCCUGAUGGAGGGGGAAAACCACUGGAAACUGUCGCAUAUCCCACAUUCCCUCAGAUGUGCCCAGAUGGGAUUAGCUAGUAGGUGGGGUAAUGGCUCACCUAGGCGACGAUCCCUAGCUGGUCUGAGAGGAUGACCAGCCACACUGGAACUGAGACACGGCCCAGACUCCUACGGGAGGCAGCAGUGGGGAAUAUUGCACAAUGGGCGCAAGCCUGAUGCAGCCAUGCCGCGUGUAUGAAGAAGGCCUUCGGGUUGUAAAGUACUUUCAGCGGGGAGGCGUUACCCGCAGAAGAAGCACCGGCUAACUCCGUGCCAGCAGCCGCGGUAAUUC